rnacentral:rRNA from 1 species
GAGUUUGAUCCUGGCUCAGGACGAACGCUGGCGGCGCGCCUAACACAUGCAAGUCGAACGAAGUUAAGUUAGCUGAAGUUUUCGGAUGGAAGCAGACUUAGCUUAGUGGCGAACGGGUGAGUAACACGUGAGCAACCUGCCCUUCAGUGGGGGACAACAGUUGGAAACGACUGCUAAUACCGCAUAAGACCACAGUACCGCAUGGUAUCGUGAUCAAAGGAUUUAUUCGCUGAAGGAUGGACUCGCGCCUGAUUAGCUAGAUGGUGAGGUAAUGGCUCACCAUGGCAACGAUCAGUAGCCGGACUGAGAGGUCGAUCGGCCACAUUGGGACUGAGACACGGCCCAGACUCCUACGGGAGGCAGCAGUGGGAAUAUUGCACAAUGGAGGAAACUCUGAUGCAGCGACGCCGCGUGAGGGAAGAAGGUUUCGGAUUGUAAACCUCUGUCUUCGAGGACGAAAAAAUGACGGUACUCGAGGAGGAAGCCACGGCUAACUACGUGCCAG